rnacentral:tRNA from 1 species
GCGGGCGUGGCGGAAUCGGUAGACGCACAGGACUUAAAAUCCUGGGAUCGCAAGAUCGUGGGGGUUCAAGUCCCCCCGCCCGCACCA